rnacentral:rRNA from 1 species
UACGUAGGGUCCGAGCGUUGUCCGGAAUUAUUGGGCGUAAAGGGCUCGUAGGCGGUUUGUUGCGUCGGGAGUGAAAACUUACAGCUUAACUGUGAGCGUGCUUCCGAUACGGGCAGACUUGAGGUAUUCAGGGGAGAACGGAAUUCCUGGUGUAGCGGUGGAAUGCGCAGAUAUCAGGAGGAACACCGAGUGGCGAAGGCAGGUCUCUGGGCCACUACUGACGCUGAGAAGCGAAAGCAUGGGGAGCGAACAGG